rnacentral:lncRNA from 1 species
UAGAUGAGGAAUGUGAGGAGAUAGAGAUAGUUGUUGUAUAGAUAGAUAGUGGGUAGCAUGAUAGUUGAUAGCGACGUAGAUUAGUUGAUAGCGACGUAGAUUAGUUGAUAGUGACAUAGAUUACUUGAUAGUGAUGUAGAUUAGUUGAUAGUGACAUAGAUAGUGAGAUAGAUAGCUGAUGGUGGUAUAAAGGUAGUGAACAGAUAGCAGAUAGGUGGGUUAUUGUUAGAGAAGUAGUUUGUGGAUAGCAAGGUAGUUAGCAGUAAGCAAGAGUUAGUAGUGAUGUAGUUAGAUCAUAGCCAGAUAGCUGAUAGGGGGAUGCAGGAUAGAAAGAUGGGUGACUGAAAGGUAGUUAAUUUAUAGAGUAUGAUAUAGAAAGUUGCUAAAAAGAAUCUCUGUUUCAGAUGUGCUACUGCAUCCUGGGAUACCACUCUCCCCGCCAGCAUGGGGUGAAGAGCAACACCUGAUGCUGCCCCAGUGCUGGCAGAAGAACAGCAGCUCUGCAGAGACCCGUCCUGCCAGCAGAGCAUCACGGAGAAGAAGACGCGCCUUCUGCUCACAGAUGAGCCACGGAGUCCUGGGACACCACUCUCCCCUCCAGCAUGUGAUGAGGACCAACGCCUGAUGCUGCUCCAGCGCCGGCAGAAGAACAGCAGCUCUGGGAACACCCGUCCUGCCAGCACAGCAUCACAGGGAAGAGGACGCACCUUCUGCUCAGAGCGAGUUACUCUUCUCCUGUAAGCCGAGCUUUGACAGAGUUGAUGUCCAAAACAGCCGAGGAAGAACUGGACUGAAGAGGAGAGCGCCAGCUGACAGCGCCCGUCUGGUGUGAUGUGCCCAGAGAGAGACUCGUCCAGCAAGAGAUAGAGUAGAUAGGGAGCAUAGGGACCCAGUUAGCUCUAAAAUGUCUUAGUAGUGCAGUUGUAAGAAAGCUCUGUAAAUAAAUUGUAUGCCAUUGUUUUCAUAUCCUUACACUGUGUCCAAAACUGUGUUUGUUCGUAGUCCGAUAUGCCUAGAAAUAAAUGACAGAACAAUAAAUCUUUUCC